ACGGGUGAGUAACGCGUGGGAAUCUACCGUGCCCUGCGGAAUAGCUCCGGGAAACUGGAAUUAAUACCGCAUACGCCCUACGGGGGAAAGAUUUAUCGGGGUAUGAUGAGCCCGCGUUGGAUUAGCUAGUUGGUGGGGUAAAGGCCUACCAAGGCGACGAUCCAUAGCUGGUCUGAGAGGAUGAUCAGCCACAUUGGGACUGAGACACGGCCCAAACUCCUACGGGAGGCAGCAGUGGGGAAUAUUGGACAAUGGGCGCAAGCCUGAUCCAGCCAUGCCGCGUGAGUGAUGAAGGCCUUAGGGUUGUAAAGCUCUUUCACCGGAGAAGAUAAUGACGGUAUCCGGAGAAGAAGCCCCGGCUAACUUCGUGCCAGCAGCCGCGGUAAUACGAAGGGGGCUAGCGUUGUUCGGAAUUACUGGGCGUAAAGCGCACGUAGGCGGAUAUUUAAGUCAGGGGUGAAACCCCAGAGCUCAACUCUGGAACUGCCUUUGAUACUGGGUAUCUUGAGUAUGGAAGAGGUAAGUGGAAUUCCGAGUGUAGAGGUGAAAUUCGUAGA
rnacentral:rRNA from 1 species